UGUCAAAGUCCAAGUGUCCAUAGUUGUAUGGGUUUGCAUUGUAAGACCCCCUUUCGGGGACCCCCACUCUAGUCUCGGGAGUGUGAGAGCACCCAAAGAAACAUGAGGACCC
rnacentral:pre_miRNA from 7 species